UUCCAAUUUGCGGUUGAAGAGAUUGAGAGAAGGCAGACAUCUUCCUCUAUUGGUAGCUUCAAUUGACUGGUGCAUAUAAUUCAGCAAUCCACUAAGUUAGAGGCUGCUGAGCUCAGAAAGGAGCAAGUAAAGAAGUGAAGAUGAAAUAUUACAGAUGUAUCUGCAGCCAUUUGAUGAUCUUCACAAGCACCAAAACAGAUUGCCUUUCCACCAAGUGUACCCUUGGUUCCUCUCAGCUUGAAUUUCUCCUUCC